rnacentral:rRNA from 1 species
AUUGAACGCUGGCGGCAUGCCUUACACAUGCAAGUCGAACGGCAGCACGGGAGCAAUCCUGGUGGCGAGUGGCGAACGGGUGAGUAAUAUAUCGGAACGUGCCCAGUCGUGGGGAUAACGUAGCGAAAGCUACGCUAAUACCGCAUACGAUCUAUGGAUGAAAGCGGGGGAUCGCAAGACCUCGCGCGAUUGGAGCGGCCGAUAUCAGAUUAGGUAGUUGGUGAGGUAAAGGCUCACCAAGCCGACGAUCUGUAGCUGGUCUGAGAGGACGACCAGCCACACUGGGACUGAGACACGGCCCAGACUCCUACGGGAGGCAGCAGUGGGGAAUUUUGGACAAUGGGCGCAAGCCUGAUCCAGCAAUGCCGCGUGCAGGAUGAAGGCCUUCGGUGUAACUAGCUUUU